AGAGUCAAGAGCCCGAGUCAAUAGGAAACCAGUUCCAAGGGACUCAGCUAAGCCACUCAGAGAAAAAAAGACCUGAGCUUUAUUCGGAGAGGAAAAAAAAAAAAUGGUGUGCAGCUGCAGCUUACCCCGCAUGACACUGCACAGAAUCCCAAAGAAAUAGAGCGGGAGAGACCCAGCCGUGCCUGCAGCCUGCCCCUCUCUCGGCUUGUGGCUAGGAUUAGGGAAAUGCUCUGACCUAUACACAUGGACGGACAUUUGCUCAAAAGAGUUGGUAUAACUAGCGCUAUUUCCCUUGGGGACAGUGGCAGCCUCCUGCCAGGUCAUCUUGUUUGCUGGGCUUACUCUGAGAUUUGCCAGCCCCAUCCUUCCACCUAGGUCUCUUCGGACCCACCACACUGCCUCUGGCUUCUUUUUUCAUGCUUUGUCCCACACCUGGAGUAGCUUUUUUUUUUUUUUGCCUUAUCUAGUAAACUCCUACUCAUCCCUCAAAACCCUGCUCAGGCUUUGAUUCGUCCAAAAAUCCUUCCUCCCCUCACCCCCAGCCAGAAUUACUUUCAUGCAUAUAAUUCCGUUUGUUCUGGCCUCAAAGUGUGGUCCCUGGACUGGAAGCUUCAGAAUCAUCUGGAAAUGUGCUAGAAAUGCAGGCUCCUAGGCCUCCCCUACCACUCCUUUACAAGUACACAAGGUCACUGGAUAGAUGGUCCCUUUGGAUCACGUGCUCAUCCCUGGCCCAGUCAGCUGUGAUCAGAGGAGCAAGACUGUGAGAUAAGGCUUGAAACCUAAGGAAUUUCAAAGAGGGGGCCAUGAUGGGCAUUCAGCGGCAUCUCAGGAGGGGGCAGAGUAACCAGCAGGUGCUUUGCAUGCUGGUCUGGUGUGUCUGGAAAAGGCAUCCCGCUAAAACGUUUGUCAGGAAACUUCUCAUCAGCAUUUCCAGCAUGCAGGAGCAACCGAGAGAGCCACUUAGAUACCAUCUGAUUAUAAUGUGUUUCUCAGAGAAAUAAAUAGCCCAAAUGGAAGCACACUUCUGGUUGUCAAUUUUUUACAAACACCCUGGAACUCAAUGACAGUUCUCGAGGAUCGAUAUGGUCUGGUGACAGUGAAUUGAUUGUUCCAGCAGAGAUCUUUAAUGAGAUUGUUCACACUAUUCAGGCACCACCAUCUCCAGCAGAUUACAAUGACAAUGGCGGGGCCUUGUGAAUAUAGAAAGCAAAGCAGCCUUCCUGCUCAUUUCUUUUUGAAAGCACUAACCCCUAGCAGCAAGGCCUUCUUGUUAAUUAGUUGUUAAUUAUUGGGACAACUCGUGAAAUGUUUAUUAAAGAGCUGGUCCAGUGGCAAAGAAAAGAACCCAGGGCAAGAGACUGAAUUGAAGGGUAAUAAAAGGAACGAAUACGCUUUUACACAGUUCACUGGCACCAAGGAAAUUCUAGCAACUCACUCUUCUGGUGCAAGAGGAGAGAUUGGGAAACCCAGGUAACAGUGCAUAGAUGAACUGCCUAAGGUUCUGCUUCUAGUUGGUGUCCUGCGAAUCAGUUCAGCCCAGAGAACUCAUCACUACCAGGCCCAGUUGAAGAGUCUUGCUCCGUUGCUCAGGCUGGCGCGAUCUCGGCUCACUGCAAGCUCCGCCUCCCGGGUUCGCACCAUUCUCCUGCCUCAGCCUCCCGAGUAGCUGGGGCUACAGGCGCCGCCACCACGCCCGGCUAAUUUUUUGUAUUUUUAGUAGAGACGGGGUUUCACCGUGUUAGCCAGGAUGGUCUGGAUCUCCUGACCUCGUGAUCCGCCCACCUCGAUCCUCUUAAAUUUUAAGUCCAAACAUGUCACGUUUUUGCUCAAAACCCUCCAAUGGUUUCCCAAAUCAUUCAGCACAAAAACCAAAGUCCCUCUAAUUACUUAUAAUACUCUCCCCCAACCUACCAUCCCUAACCUCAUCACUAAUACUCUUAUACUUAAUCAUCUGCUACAGCCUACAAUUUCCUCUGCUGUUCCUCAAACAUCCCAAAGAUUUUGUCACCUGAAGGUCUUUGCAUGUUCUGCCUCCUUGUCCUGGAAAGCUUUUCCCCAAAUACCAUUUUGUCUCUGCCUUCAGAUUUUUGAUCAAAUGUCACCUUGUUCCCAAAGUUUUCUCUGACCAUGCUAUUUAAAGUACAAUGCUCUACUCCACCCCUUGCAAUCUCAAUGCCUCUGUCCUGCUUUAGUUUUCCUUUGUAGCUGUUAUCAUCAACUGACAUAGAGAUUGCUUAUGUAUUUUGUCGUUUUCUGUCUCCUCACAUUAGGAACUAGGGUUCGUGAGAGUGGGGGUUUUGUAGGCUUUGGAAAUUAGUAUUUCUUUAGCAACAAGAACAGUGUAUAUGGCAGACACUCAAUAAAUCCUUGCUUU